rnacentral:rRNA from 1 species
CAGGUGCUAAUCCGGAGAUUCCCGAAUGGGGAAACCCGCUCAAGCGAUCCUUGAGCACCUUUAUGCUGAACACAUAGGCAUAGAGGGGGGAACCGGGUGAACUGAAACAUCUUAGUAACCCGAGGAAGAGAAAUCAUUCCCUGAGUAGUGGCGAGCGAAAGGGGAAAAGCCCAAACCUGUGUUGUGCCAAGACCGUAGUCGUUGCAACACAGGGGUUGUAGGACCCGUCAGGGAGCGCUACGGCGCUUCCAGGGAGUUACCAAUCUGGCUGCUAGCAGAACUGAACUGGAAUGGCAGACCAUAGAGGGUGACAGUCCCGUACGCGAAAGCGGACCAGACUCCCGACGGUGAUCCUGAGUACCACGGGGCACGCUAAUCCUGUGGGAAGCAGGGAGGUCCAUCUCCCAAGGCUAAACACUCCUGAUGACCGAUAGUGAACAAGUACCGCGAGGGAAAGGUGAAAAGUCCCCCGGUGAGGGGAGUGAAAUAGAACCUGAAACCGUGUGUCUACAAUCAGUCGAAGCGCGGUGGCGACCUUCGGGUUGCCCGCGCAACGGCGUGCCUUUUGGAGAAUGAGCCGGCGAGUUACUCUCUGUAGCAAGGUUAAGCCAGUGACAGGCGGAGCCGCAGCGAAAGCGAGUCUGAAUAGGGCGUUCAGUUGCAGGGAGUAGACACGAAACCGGGUGAGCUACCCAUGGCCAGGUUGAAGCGAGAGUAAUGUCUCGUGGAGGACCGAACCGGUGUAUGUUGCAAAAUGCUCGGAUGAGCUGUGGGUAGGGGUGAAAUGCCAAUCGAACUCGGAGAUAGCUUGUUCUCCCCGAAAUAGCUUUUGGGCUAGCGUCGCGCGUUUAGUACCGGAGGUAGAGCACUGGAUUGGCUAGGGGGCCUAUCGCUUACCAAACCAAACCAAACUCCGAAUGCCGGUACUCCAAAGCGCGGCAGUCGGACUACGGGAGAUGAGUUUCGUGGUCGAGAGGGGAAGAGCCCAGACCGUCAGCUAAGGUCCCUAAGUGUAGGCUAAGUGGGAAAGGAUGUGGGAUUACCGAGACAUCCAGGAGGUUGGCUUAGAAGCAGCCAUCCUUUAAAGAGUGCGUAAUAGCUCACUGGUCUAGUGAUCCUGCGCCGAAAACGUAACGGGGCUAAAGCCUACUACCGAAGCUACGGGUCUCCCCGUCCUUGCGACGGAGGGGCAGUAGGGGAGCGUUCUGCGGGAGAUACGAGUCGGACCGUAAGGACCGGAUGCGGCCCGCAGAAGUGAGAAUGCCGGCAUGAGUAGCGAAAAACACGUGAGAAACGUGUUCACCGUAUACCCAAGGUUUCCGACGGAAGGUUAAUCCGCGUCGGGUUAGUCGGGCCUAAGCCGAGGCCGAAAGGCGUAGGCGAUGGACAACAGGUCAAUAUUCCUGUACCACUUGGAUGGAGCGAUGGGGGGACGCAGAAGGGUAGGCCUACGAAGGCCGGAGAUGCUGUCGUGCCAAGUCUGUAGGGCGUCGAUUGUCGUAGGUAAAUCCGCGACAGGAGCCUGAGAGGCGAUGGUAAGCUCCGUAAUUGGAGUGAUGUGGCUGAGCCCAUGCUGCCGAGAAAAACCUCUAAGCGAUGAAGUUCAGGUGCCCGUACCGCAAACCGACACAGGUGGGUGGGGAGAAAAUCCCAAGGUGAUCGGGAGAACCAUCGUUAAGGAAUUAGGCAAUCUAGAUCCGUAACUUCGGGAGAAGGAUCGCCUCGACUGGUGAUGUGACUAGCUUGCUGAGCUGGUCGAGGCCGCAGUGAAAUGGCCCUACCGACUGUUUAACAAAACCACAGGUCUCUGCAAAAGCGUAAGCUGAUGUAUAGGGGCUGACACCUGCCCAGUGCCGGAAGGUUAAAGGGAGGGGUUAGCGUAAGCGAAGCUCUGAUCUGAAGCCAAGGUAGCGAAAUUCCUUGUCGGGUAAGUUCCGACCCGCACGAAUGGUGUAACGAGUGGGGCGCUGUCUCGACGAUGGACCCGGCGAAAUUGAACUACGUGUGAAGAUACGCGUUACCCGCAGCAAGACAAAAAGACCCCGUGGAGCUUUACUGUAACUUGGCAUUGAAUUAGGGCUUGGUCUGUGUAGGAUAGCUGGGAGACUGAGAAGCUGGGGCGCCAGCCUCGGUGGAGUCAACCUUGAAAUACCAGCCUGAUUAAGUCUUGGUCCUAACCGGUGUCCGUAAUCCGGCAUCGGGACAGUGCCAGGCAGGCAGUUUGACUGGGGCGGUCGCCUCCUAAAAAGUAACGGAGGCGCCCAAAGGUUCCCUCAGGCUGAAUGGAAACCAGCCAUAGAGUGUAAAGGCAUAAGGGAGCUUGACUGCAAGACCCACAAGUCGAGCAGAGACGAAAGUCGGGCUUAGUGAUCCCACGGUACCGAGUGGAAGGGCCGUGGCUUACCGGAUAAAAGCUACCCCGGGGAUAACAGGGUAGUCUGGCCCAAGCGUUCACAGCGACGGCCAGGUUCGCCACCUCGAUGUCGGCUCGUCACAUCCUGGGGCUGGAGUAGGUCCCAAGGGUUGGGCUGUUCGCCCAUUAAAGUGGCACGCGAGCUGGGUUCAGACCGUCGUGAGACAGGUCGGUCUCUAUCUGCUGUGGGCGUAGGUGACUUGAGGAGAGCUGCUCCUAGUACGAGAGGACCGGAGUGGACCGACCGCUGGUGUGCCAGUUGUCCCGCCAGGGGCAUUGCUGGGUAGCUAUGUCGGGCAGAGAUAACCGCUGAAAGCAUCUAAGUGGGAAACUCGCUUCAAGAUGAGGUCACCCAUCCCGUUAAGGGAGUAAGACCGCGAGAAGACGACUCGUUUGAUAGGCGGCAUGUGUAAGCACAGUAAUGUGUUAAGCUUAGCCGUACUAAUGGUCGAGGGCUUAAUUC